rnacentral:rRNA from 1 species
GACAGCAGCCGCCGCGGUAAUACGGAGGGUGCAAGCGUUAUCCGGAUUUAUUGGGUUUAAAGGGUCCGUAGGCGGAUCUGUAAGUCAGUGGUGAAAUCUCACAGCUUAACUGUGAAACUGCCAUUGAUACUGCAGGUCUUGAGUAAAUUUGAAGUGGCUGGAAUAAGUAGUGUAGCGGUGAAAUGCAUAGAUAUUACUUAGAACACCAAUUGCGAAGGCAGGUCACUAAGAUUUAACUGACGCUGAUGGACGAAAGCGUGGGGAGCGAACAGGAUUAGAUACCCGCGUAGUCCCUGUCUCUUAUAC